UGCGCAGAGUGAAGGCACUUCUAAAAAGUCACUGUCCUCUACAGAACGUGACUUUCUCCAUUGUCUUCCAGGACCCUGCAGGAAUCCAAUUCCCAUCAUUCUUCUCUGGCGCGGCUCUCCUCCUCUCUGGACAGUAGGGCAGGGUAGGACUGGACCCAACACCAGACCUAGGCACCGACCUUUAGCUCAGCCGCCAAAUGAAAGAAGAGGUCGCUCCACUUUCACCUGCAGAGACUGGAUCUCGCUGUGUUGCCCAGGCUGGUCUUGAACUCCUUGCCUCAGGAAAUCCUUCUGGCUUAGCCACCCAAAGAGCUGGAAUUACAGGGCAGAAGGAGGACUCCUGAAGCCUCCGAAGGAAGGAAAUCAUUACAGGGCCCUACAGAAGUAGGUCAUGUGCUACAGCUGCUCAUAGUUUGAGAGGAAGAAACACGGGACCUCAAACCUGGAACACGACUCUUUCAAAAUGCUUAGCUGCCCUCUCCUUACACAUUUGGGGUUUUCUGUGAAUAAGCCUGCUGGUCGAAUCUAGUGAAAUAACACGAAUGCCCUUGGCCAACCCCUGAGUCGAAUUGUACAGGCCUUGGUACAGGAAUGUUUGAUGUCGGGGAGACCGCGCCUUUAAAAUCCUCCGAGGAAAGAAGAUUUCUAUAAAAGUUUUCUCCUAUAAAUAUUUUAUGUUUCAUUGAAUUACUAUGAACAGAAAUUCGGUGAUGGAAGAGAUGGGCCUUCUCUGCCCCCACACCAACCAAAGGCCCAUUUCCAAACUCAUGGCCGCGCUCUGCCACCUGGGAACCUGUCCACGUAGAACCAUUCCAUCCAAGUGUCCCCCGCUCUGGGCUGGGGACAGUGAGCAAUUCCACACCUAAAAUCACCCCACACUGGUAGACGCCAGGGUUUUCCAAAACAGAAGUCCCUCUCCAAUAAGAGGAUCACUAAGACAUCCAACCUUCAAGCCCAACUCAUCUCACAAAGGGGCUUGGUGCUUCUACCACAAUACAAGACUACAUGACUGACUGCUGUGGGCCCUUCUGAGUCAGAGAAGAGUCCUUGUAAGUUUACAACACCACACCUUUGGUGGGUUUUUACAGGGCUAGAGGGUUUGCCUAAUUCAACUGAGACGUGGGUGCCCUGCAAUUAUCCCCGUUAGCUGCAGUGCCAGAUGUAUUGAAGUGGAGCGGUGCAUUCUGGCUUCCUCAAAAAACCAGUUUCCAGGUUUCUUCUUCAGUUGGCUUCAGGCUCACACAGAAGCUUUUCUUAAGUUGAUGUACAGCCAUUAGUUGGAUGCCUGGGGAGAUCACAGUGGUCCCCUGCGGUGUCGACAUGAGCCCAGCCUUCUUAGAGAAUCAGUGCAGGGCUGAGGGAAGGGCUCCUCUGCCAGCAGCUCCAGUUCCACGAGUUCUCAUCCUACACUUGAUCAGACAUCCACUGCUGCUGGGUGCAUCUAACCUCUGGUAUUACCCUGUGUUUGUUCAGAAAGACUUCUUUUGAUACCACCCCCAGACAAAUGUGUUUUGAAUUUCACCACUACUCCAAAGUAAUUCUGAAUUCUAGUCACAUUCCAUCCGGUAGAGUCACACUCUUCCCUGUCCCCCCUUCCAUAGUCCACUCUACAGAUCACACCAGAUCGGUGUCAUCUGUAACUUAAUGAGCAUGGUCUCUAUGCUUAUCAGUCCCCACAGGUAAGACCAAUUCUGCCUCAUCUGCAGCAAUUUGAAAGGGACCACUGGAAACUCACCCGAGGAAGUGAGAGUUGCAGAAACAUUCUUUUUUCCAUCUUCCUCCCACUUCCUGCCCUUUCCCAGUUCUGUCCAUAAGCUACUGGCAAGCUCAGCCAUUCUGAGAAGGGAUCUCCCUAGGAACCAGGCUACUCACUAUCCCAAGCACAUGCUGACUUCCUACCAGUGAAGGAGCCUUUUGCAAACAUCCCCCUACUCCUACCCUCUAUAGCCUCCCAGCAUUCAGAACCUUAAUGAUAUUUAUUCUGGAUGUUUGCAACUUUAGAACACAACACACUGAUUUUCUGACAUUAAACACACCAACGGCUAUGAGAGAGUUCUAGAAAUAAUGUUCCCCCCUCUGUACUGGGAGUAGGGAAUUGCGUUUGUCAGAGUCUCCCAGGUGCUAAAAGAAGAGAAAUGGGCUGAGAAUGGUGAGCUGGACAGAGUCCAAAGCUGCUGUGUAAUCUCUCUGACUCUUCCUUGGCCAGCUCCUCCAUGUAUGAUAGCACAUUGUGCACAGAGCUCCCCCAGAGGAAAGAGCUGCUGGUUUCAGCCCUGUCUAAUAAGAGACCAACGUGUGUGCAUGGCCACUUUGAAGAAGAAGGGAAAAAGACAAACAAAAACAAAACACAACCGAAACUGUAGUUGUGCGGCUUCUAUUGCCCAAAGCAAAUCCAGGCUCUUAAGCUGUUUCAUGAAGCCCCAGGGCCAAGGCUGCGAUGUGGCUGGGGGAGAGGUGCAGCUCGCACAUGGUGUCGUGCUGCUGUGUUACCCACCAGGACAAUCCUGCCCUGCUAAUGGCCCUGGGCACUUGUAGUGGGCUUCUCCCUGAACACAGAUCAGAAAUGCAGGCUCCUUUUCUGCAGUACUUCUCCUUAAUCCCGGCAACUCUCCAUAGCGAAGACUAGUUUUCCACAAGGAAACCAAGCUGGUCAUCUCCUCUCUCUGCCAGGAGAGUUUGCCUUGCAAACUGCUGUGGGAAUGACUUUCCCCCCAGGACCUAUCUAGGUGCAGAAUUACAUUUAGAUGGUUAUUAUUUUCUCAUAUUCAAUAUUCCUCUUACUACCACCUGUCAUUUUCACCUAUUGUUCUGGUAUUCAAUUCUAAUCCUAAUACUCUUUGCAAAGCUUCCACUUUGCUCUUUGAUAUUUCUUGGUUCUUUCUGGAGGAAGAAAGUAAAAUUAAAAUUUAAAGAGGAAAGAAAAUAAUCAUGUGGGAAGGUGUACAUAACUCUCGAAACACUUAGAGUGUGAAUUUGUUUCUGAAUUCAGAUUUCAAGUGUUUUAGUCACACAGUGUCAGAUACAAAGAUGAGAGAAUUCAUGGAUUACUCUGACCAUCAAUGUUUGAGAUCUUAAAAGUCAGGACAGUUUUAAUUCCAAUAUUCACUCUAUGGAUAUUUAUUUAUUUCCAAUAUCCACUCUAUGGAGAUCCUAGGUGAGGCUGAAGGAAGAAAAGCACAGUUAAAAAUAUUCAGGGCACGGUGUCUCACACCUGUAAUCCCAGCAUUUUCAGAGACAGAGGCGGUGGAUCACCUGAGGUCAGGUGUUCGAGACCAGC